rnacentral:rRNA from 1 species
UACGUAGGGGGCAAGCGUUGUCCGGAAUCAUUGGGCGUAAAGCGCGUGUAGGCGGCUCGAUAAGUCUGCUGUAAAAGUCCAGGGCUCAACCCUGGAAAGCCGGUGGAGACUGUCAAGCUUGAGUCCGGAAGAGGCGAGUGGAAUUCCUGGUGUAGCGGUGAAAUGCGCAGAUAUCAGGAGGAACACCAAUGGCGAAGGCAGCUCGCUGGGACGGUACUGACGCUGAGACGCGAAAGCGUGGGGAGCAAACAGG